rnacentral:rRNA from 1 species
CCUACGGGAGGCAGCAGUGGGGAAUCUUCCGCAAUGGACGAAAGUCUGACGGAGCAACGCCGCGUGAGUGAUGACGGCCUUCGGGUUGUAAAGCUCUGUUAAUCGGGACGAAAGGUCCUCUUGCGAAUAGUUAGAGGAAUUGACGGUACCGGAAUAGAAAGCCACGGCUAACUACGUGCCAGCAGCCGCGGUAAUACGUAGGUGGCAAGCGUUGUCCGGAAUUAUUGGGCGUAAAGCGCGCGCAGGCGGAUCAGUCAGUCUGUCUUAAAAGUUCGGGGCUUAACCCCGUGAUGGGAUGGAAACUGCUGAUCUAGAGUAUCGGAGAGGAAAGUGGAAUUCCUAGUGUAGCGGUGAAAUGCGUAGAUAUUAGGAAGAACACCAGUGGCGAAGGCGACUUUCUGGACGAAAACUGACGCUGAGGCGCGAAAGCCAGGGGAGCGAACGGGAUUAGAUACCCGGGUAGUC